GACGAACGCUGGCGGCGUGCCUAAUACAUGCAAGUCGAGCGAAUGGAUUAAGAGCUUGCUCUUAUGAAGUUAGCGGCGGACGGGUGAGUAACACGUGGGUAACCUGCCCAUAAGACUGGGAUAACUCCGGGAAACCGGGGCUAAUACCGGAUAACAUUUUGAACCGCAUGGUUCGAAAUUGAAAGGCGGCUUCGGCUGUCACUUAUGGAUGGACCCGCGUCGCAUUAGCUAGUUGGUGAGGUAACGGCUCACCAAGGCAACGAUGCGUAGCCGGCCUGAGAGGGUGAUCGGCCACACUGGGACUGAGACACGGCCCAGACUCCUACGGGAGGCAGCAGUAGGGAAUCUUCCGCAAUGGACGAAAGUCUGACGGAGCAACGCCGCGUGAGUGAGGAAGGCUUUCGGGUCGUAAAACUCUGUUGUUAGGGAAGAACAAGUGCUGGUUGAAUAAGCUGGCACCUUGACGGUACCUAACCAGAAAGCCACGGCUAGCUACGUGCCAGCCGCCGCAGUAA
rnacentral:rRNA from 1 species